rnacentral:rRNA from 1 species
GACGUAGGGCGCGAGCGUUGUCCGGAUUUAUUGGGCGUAAAGAGCUCGUAGGCGGCUUGUCGCGUCGUCCGUGAAAACUUGGGGCUCAACCCCAAGCUUGCGGUCGAUACGGGCAGGCUAGAGUUCGGUAGGGGAGACUGGAAUUCCUGGUGUAGCGGUGAAAUGCGCAGAUAUCAGGAGGAACACCGAUUGCGAAGGCAGCUCGCUGGGACGUAACUGACGCUGAGACGCGAAAGCGUGGGGAGCAAACAGG